UUUCCGUAGGUGAACCUGCGGAAGGAUCAUUGUCGAAGCCUGCCCAGCAGAACGACCCGCGAACUUGUAUAAACAACCGGGGGCAGGGGCGAUCUCGCCCCGUGCCCCCGAACGGCAGGGAGACACUCGUGCCUUCUUGUCGAACAACGAACCCCGGCGCGGUCUGCGCCAAGGAACUUCAAUUAAAGAGUGCCUCCGGUCGCCUCGGAAACGAUGCGCGUGUCGGAGGCGAAUCUUGUACAAAACCAUAACGACUCUCGGCAACGGAUAUCUCGGCUCUC
rnacentral:misc_RNA from 1 species